GUUGUGCACACUGAUGCAGUUUCUCUUGCUGUCAUCCACAUGACUCUUUGUGACUUCAUUUGACACUGUAUUAAGGUGUUUAAAGUGUGUCUUUGCAUUUCUUGCAUAACUGGAUCCUAUCUCAUUAAGGGUUGUGGACAUCAGCCUCUGGAGAGAAGAGAGUGGUGCUAACUCCUGGGAAGUGCUUUGCACGGCAUGACAGGGAGAAAGGUCAGAGUACCAUCGCCCUUGAGCAUCAUGGGCAGGGAUUUGGAGCAUCUGCACAGGUUUGGAGGAGGGGGG